rnacentral:rRNA from 1 species
UACGUGAGGGGCGAACGUUGUUCGGUGUCACUGGGCUUAAAGGGCGCGUAGGUGGCUGCGUAAGUAAGGUGUGAAAGCCCUCGGCUUACCCGGGGAAUUGCGCCUUAUACUGCGUGGCUUGAGGAUCUCAGGGGAAUGGGGAACUCCAGGUGUAGCGGUGAAAUGCGCAGAUAUCUGGGGGAAGGCCGGCGGCGAAGGCGCCAUUCUGGGAGAUUCCUGACACUGAGGCGCGAAAGCGUGGGGAGCAAACAGG